rnacentral:rRNA from 1 species
GACGGAGGAUGCAAGUGUUAUCCGGAAUCACUGGGCGUAAAGCGUCUGUAGGUGGUUUAAUAAGGUCAACUGUUAAAUCUUGAGGCUCAACCUCAAAAUCGCAGUCGAAAACUAUUAGGCUAGAGUAUAGUAGGGGUAAAGGGAAUUUCCAGUGGAGCGGUGAAAUGCGUAGAGGAUUGGAAAGAACACCGAUGGCGAAGGCACUUUACUGGGCUAUUACUAACACUCAGAGACGAAAGCUAGGGUAGCAAUGGG